GAUGAACGCUGGCGGCGUGCUUAACACAUGCAAGUCGAACGAAGAUGCCGGAGUGCUUGCACUUUGGCAGACUGAGUGGCGGACGGGUGAGUAACGCGUGGGUAACCUGCCUUAUACAGGGGGAUAACAGUUGGAAACGACUGCUAAUACCGCAUAAGCGCACGGUAUCGCACGAUACAGUGUGAAAAACUCCGGUGGUAUAAGAUGGACCCGCGUCUGAUUAGCUUGUUGGUGAGGUAACGGCCCACCAAGGCGACGAUCAGUAGCCGGCCUGAGAGGGUGAACGGCCACAUUGGGACUGAGACACGGCCCAAACUCCUACGGGAGGCAGCAGUGGGGAAUAUUGCACAAUGGGGGAAACCCUGAUGCAGCGACGCCGCGUGAGUGAAGAAGUAUUUCGGUAUGUAAAGCUCUAUCAGCAGGGAAGAAAAUGACGGUACCUGACUAAGAAGCCCCGGCUAACUACGUG
rnacentral:rRNA from 1 species